AUAAGUUUAGUUAAAGUAUAACAUUAAAUUGUCAUUUUAAAAUUAUUAAUUAUAAUAACUUUUA
rnacentral:tRNA from 1 species